CUGUGGAAUGAGCUUUAAUUAAGAAAGGGACAGGGAGAGAAGUUAAGCUCUGCAACAGAUAGGCCCCAUCAAUGAAACCUGAAGUAGAGUUCAGAGAUGGGUGCAAGUCUGCUCCAGCUAAUUGAUUUAAAACAAUCCACGGAUUCCUUGCAUAAAAAGUUAGGCUUGCAGGUACAUCAGCUGGUCCCCCAAUAGCAGGUCCAUUAUAAAAACAAAGGAACGAAGAAGAUAAAAAUCUACUUAGGCACAUGCUUAUGCCUCAACAUUGGCCCUUUUUGCUUUAAGUUGUCAUGGAUCUUGUGUCCUAGAAUAACAGGUUGCAGAUCGGCAGGUUACGCAAUAGACCUUUGAUUGGUCUUGCUGAAUUGCAAGAACAAGAUCUGGUAACUUAAUUUGUCAUUUCCUGGAACCUUUUGGCCGAGAUCAAGGAAUGAUAAUGUGAUGUAUCGGGAUACUUGUUUUUCUGAAGCAGCUCUUGUCCACUAGCCUGGAGAACUAUCCACUAUCCAGGGUUGAGUCUUGAGGGCUUGAAUGUGCAAUGUUAUACAGCAAGCAAAAGUGCAAGUGAUGAGCUCAGAAAACCCAACAGCAUGCCCUCAACUCACAAUGUGGUUUUGACAGCAUUACACUUCAGUCGUUACUGGAACUACAUUUUUAGAUAUGAUGAAGGAACAGGUGUACCUAAAGAGCAGACACACACGUACCUUGAUCCUACUCCAUUGGCCUCUUCCCGACAUUGCGAGCUCUAGGAAUAAGAAGGCUCUGAUGCACACUAAUUGUAUAACACUGUAGGGAUGAUGUUUCAGCAGUUCAAUGAACACAUGGUGUCUAGUUCAUAAUGUAGCAAUUUUACCAUACACGCUCGCCCUCAACACACCAGAUUAAAUAUCUAUACCAGUUGAAAUAAACCUUUCCUCUAUAAAUAUAGAUAUCAUUACAAGGGGCAUUUAUGGUCGUCUCCUCUUAUUUCAGGAAAUAUCUUUCUGGAACCAAUAUCCCUCUAGCACUAAAUAAUAACUAUCAACUUCAGGAGGUAACUUCACCAUAUUCUCUACGAUAUACAUACUCUCUAUCAUUGUUGCCUUUUAUAUGUCCUUGAUCCAUAUAAAUAAAGUUCCCUUGUACUCAUAAUUUGAUUGUGGUAAGGGUUGGGUGCAUAUAACUUAUGACCUCAAGGGGGUUCAGAUCCUAGCAUUUUCCAUAUACAGUGCAAUGAAAAGAGCAGAAUUUAGGCUUUAUCGUUUACAGCUAUUGCCAGAGCUGGACUCAUCUGCUUCUUCCUCUCACUAAAACUACUGCAAGAAAUCAAGCUUGGGAGGCAACAUUGCAUAGACUUGAUUGAUUUCUCUCUCUCAAUUAACGCAUCUCCAUUAGUAGUCCUUUCACUACUACAGACACUGUUAGUUCCAGAGAAAUAAGGUGUACCAGAGGCAGAUUUCGGAAGAACAUCAAGAAUAGUUGGCUUGACUUCCAUCUUCCCAUUGGCAGUAUUCUGCUUGCCAGACGUUUGUCGGUCAUCGGCUUCUGGUUCUUCUCUCAAACUCUCUUGGAAUAGUUCAUAUAGUCUCUUCUUUUUCCCUGUUGGGGAUGGUUCAAGGAUAGAAUCAGGAUGUCCGUCUUCCAAAGGAGUUUUGUUGAUCUUGGGAGUCCCCGUGGAAAAGCUAUGAUGAACUGGGGUACUGCCACGUGAUGGGGUAAAUUCACCAUUGACACUGAAGAAAUCAUCCUCACAAUCUGAUUCUAACCAAGGUUGGGAAUCAAAAAAGGUCUCAUCUUUGCUUCCUUUCAAUGUCAUUGUCAGACACCCAGUUGGCUGGGAAGACCAUCACAAACACCUUCAGUAAUCACCCAACUUACAUCUUUAUCUUUCCUGAUUCUUGUUUAGUUCCCUCUCAGAAUUCCCAAAGAUCUUACUUGUGAUUUCAAUAAAUUAAUACUUACAUAGAUAACAAGCUAACAAAUGAAAACAACAUCAAUCUUUCCAGAUUGUGGACCAUCUCUUCUAGACAUCUUCAAGAAUGGUUAACAUUUGCCACACGACACAUGAUCAUCAAUGAGGUAAUAACCAAUGGUCCCACACAGUUGCAUACUUUUGAAGAGCCAGGACAAUAUCAUAAAUCAGUCUCCAUAUUAAUUAUGGAAAGUAGGUUAUUGAUAAUAACUUGUAUGCACAACAAAUGUUACAAGAUUCAAGCAAAGACACACCACUCUGCCUAACUGCCUAACCUCUUGUCAUAACCAGUUUGGGGAAAACAAAAUUCUCAUAGCAUGCUUCCUAUAAGAAAAUUUUUAUUUUACAUAUUGUUCAUUUCCAAAAAUAUCACCAGUAAUGUGGCUUUCUAACAGAAAAAAUUGCAUUAUUAAUCUUGCAGAACAAUAGCAUAGACACUUCAUUAAGAAAUUCAUAUCAAAGGAAAUUCUUUAAAAAAAAAUCUCAAUUUUGCUAUGAUAUUUUUCAUACCACAGUAUCCAAGGAAAGCUGUAAUGCAUAGACACUUGAGAAAAUUCAUAUCAAAGGAAAUUAAGAAAAGGGCAUUCCAGGACUACGGCUUCCCGGGAAGGUUCAUCUACUGUAAUGAUUCCAGUCAAAGAAAUUAAAAGAAAAUAAAAAUCGACCAUAGUAUCCUGCAACUAAGAGUAUGAGCAACCUCAUCUACUAUCCAUAUCCCCCUUCAUUUCUUUUAUCUGCUAAUCCUUCGCAUAACUUGGAAAAUAAAAUCAAUCAACUUGACAUAAAAAGAAUCACUAACAAAAAUCAAUCAACAGCAAACUAGAACGAAGUUGAAAUUCCCUGAAAUUGAGUAAAAGAUAUAGAAGAUGACACUUUUUUUUUUAAUUAAAUAAAAAAAAGACAAGCAAACCACCAGAAUCAAAACAAAACAACAAGGUCAAUGCAUCUCCGUCACAGCCAUAUCAGGCAAAUCUUCAACCGUAACAACAGCAUACCUACAAUCCAUUGAUUAGGCUUAAAACCAUGUAAAAACCACAAAACAGUUCCAAAUAUUUACCUAACAAAAUAAUUUCAACAAGACUAUUUAAUAUUAUAAUAUUUUUAUUGGUAUCUUCAAGCAUAUGGCCAUACAUCUAAAGCAACUCCGACACACCCAACCACCCAUUUCAGAUCGCACAAGACUGACAAAAAAAACUGAGCCAACGACUUAAUACUAUUAUCAUAAGAUU
rnacentral:misc_RNA from 1 species